GGACGCUCCUCACCCUCUGGCCCAGCUCCAGGCACCGAGGCUGGGCAAGAGGAGGGAGGAGGAGCCCCCAGGAAGACGUGGAUCUUGGGCCGGUCACACAUAGCGUCUGCCGAGGAGGAAAAUUAUGGAAGUUUAUUCAGGCUGUGCACUGACUCAACGCUCUGAGAGAGAAGCCUGGGCUGACACCAACCAGACUCCACAGGUCACGGUGAGGAGGAUCAACAUGCAUCCGUCAUGCCGACGGAUGCAGACGACCGACCAGUGUGUUUCACAGCUGGGAGCUAAAACCAGGCAGAGCCGCUGACCAAUCAGACGGCAGGCUGCUGGGGGAGGAUCAGCUGGUAUGGGACUUCUUCUGUUACAUAAUCAUUUAAAGUCAUUAUUAAAGAUGGUUGUGAUAUUUAAAUAAAACACAUAUAUGAACAAAACACAUAAAGAGCAAUAUCAGACUUGAAUUGAGAAAAAUUUAAGUUGAUUAUAAUAUUUAAUCAUAUUCUCCAGGUGCUUUUCCAGAUAGGCUACUUCAUAUAUAUCUUACUGAUAUUACUGGGCAGAAACCGGCCUCCAUAUUUAUCUAAAUUACUUCUAAAACACAGUGAAGUUUAUGAGAUGUGACUUCGUGGUGUGAGCCACUGAGACACAGACAGACGAUAUAAAUGUGUCAUUUAAUGACCGAGGACUCUAAAUUUAGACAAGAAGACAUUUAAAACCGCCUCAUUACACGCACACACACACACACACACACACACACACACACACACACACACACGCACACACACACACGAUGCUUCCUAAUGUGACUUUAUUUUUAGAUUAGAUUAAUUCCCAUUAGUUCCCCUACUACCACACUGUUUAUAUUGAUAAUAAUGAUAAUAAUAAUGAUAAUGAUAAUAAUGAUAAUAAUGAUAAUAAUGAUAAUGAUUAUAAUAAUAUUAUGUUUCAUACUGUUUAUAAUAAACUUUAUUGGCUGAGUCAGAUAUUUUGAUUUGGAAGAAGCGCGCUCCCGAGGCGCUGACGGGAACCCGCAUGUAAAAAGAAUUUGGUUUCAAAAUAAAAGCGAUAACUAUAUGUGUUUAUGUAUAGACGUUUAAAAUGACUAAUAGGCCACUAUAGAAAUAAGUAAUAUUAAUUUAAAGUGUAUUCAUCCUGCGUCAUGCUCCAGUUUUAUGCAUUAAAACUUAUUUGUGUUACAUGCUAUUAAUAGAUUGUUUUAUUCAAUUUUGAUUUUUUUGUGUUUGUCCCACGUUGGAUUGAAUCUGUGUUUUUCUUUUCUUUUUGUUGAAUAUUUCGACGUGUGAUCUGUGUAUGUUGCUUACUUUGACGAUUAGGAAUGGCAGAAUCAAAUAAACCAAAUAAAAACUGGUAUUUAAUAGGCUGACAUUAGACUGUAGUUUGUCCAUUUUGCUCCACAGUUACUCAGAUGUGUCUACAGGUUUUCUUUAUUUAUUUAUUUCAUGAACAAUCAAAGAAGUUAAUUUACAUAUAAUUUACGACUGUAUGUUAUUUUAUAUUAUUUAUUUAUUCUUUUCAUUCCACUGUAUCAGUCGGCUUCUCAACCUCACAUCGGUUACACUUCUUUUCUCUAUUUUUCUGUUUUUUUUCAGAGUCGUAUAUACAGAAUUCAAGACAGUCCAGAGUCCAAGUCCCCCAAAACCCCAUAAAUAAAAUGUAAUUUAUUAUUAAAGAACUUUACAAUUACUGUCUACCACAAAUAUAUGUUAUUUAUUUUAAAUAUGAUAUAUGUUACAUUUUAUCGCUAUUUAUCUUAACUUUUUUAUUCUAUUUCAUAGAUUUUCAUUGCCAAAGACUGUAACUGUUAUGCACAUGA